AAUGUCUUACCAGGAACACAAAUCCCUGUUACUGGUGGUAGACCUAGCUGUAAAACACUAUUCUGUCAGGAAAUUAUGGUAUCCUAAUGAUGAUUUCCAGGAGAUUAAGGUGCUUGUACUGAUGACCAUUUUGGAGGUUGCAUCUAUCAACCCCUUUCACACAGAUGCAUGUGGUUAUGUUGUUGUUUGCUCCACAUACCCUAUAGCUUCCUUUCUGUCUGCUGUUAGACUGGGGGAAAGCAGGAACUGCCAUCUUCUCUGGAGAACCAGAGGCUUACUUUUUGGAGAAAAAGUCAGAUGCUGGAUGGAAGAGGUGACCAGAUGACAUGUUAAGAAGUGACCCACCCCAUGUUGUGUAUGACACUUUGCAGUGCAGCAUCUUUUCUGUGAAGGUGAAGUUCAGCUGGAGCAAAACAGUUCAUCACUGUGUGAGCUGAAGACCAAUCUACUGCCCAGUUCUGCAAAAGCUUAGUAGAAAAUUUACCAUCCUACUUCAAGCUCUGAAGAGUGUGAAUUUCUUUAAGCUCUAAUUUUUCUCUUUAUAAAAUUUGUUCUAAUUUUAUAAACUGUAUAUGUUCUAAUUUGUUCACAGACAUAAUGUGAAUUGAAUUACUUAAAAGGUCGAAAGUGUGUUUGUUUUUCUGCAUUAAAAGAACAUAUCUGUCUGUCUAUCUUGUUCUCCAUCACAGAAGUAUUUAUGGCCUUUGGCAUUAUUAUACACAAAGGAGGAAAUUAAAAUGUUUCUAGUGAUUGUUCAUUCUUGUUAGGCAACUACAACAACAUUUUUCAGUACUUCUUGGUCAGUAAUAAAGACUGCUGCAUAGCUGUGAAUCAAUAGAUGAUUGGUGUAGCCUUUUCUUUUAAUUGUCACCAUCUCUACUACAGAUAGAUCAAAUCUUUUUUCUUUGGCUCUUAAGAAAGAAAUCGCCACAAUAAUAGAGCAGUCUUUAGUUCUUUUUUUUUUUUUUUUCCUCAUCACACCAGCAUGUGCAUCCAUCUAUCACUAUUGUAAUGUGCUUUUGAGGUGUGAAAAGCUAUUUGGUACACGUUCUCAGUAACUACCUCUGCAUAAUAGGAACACCAGAAUUGAGAGUACUUUUCAUUCACUGAACAACUGGAAUACUUAGUAGAUGAAUAAAUGAGCUUUUUAAGCAAGAACAUCAGAGAAGAGACAUAUAAGAUAUUAAGAACCAUAAAAAUAAUUUUCUAAAUAAUCUCUUCAUGUUUAUUUAAUUAAACUAUAUGUUUUGAUGACUCUAAAUAUUCAAUAUAUUGUUAGAUACUUACUUUCAUUUUUUUUCCACAUACAGAAAACUUACAUGCUUUACUUCUCUUUGUACCAACUGCAGUGCUGAAUACAGCAGAUUGUGACAGUAGCUAUGUAACACCAACCAUCUUAAAAGGUAAUAGCAAAAAGAAAUCUGUCAGUUAAGUACUGUCUUAGCAAUUUUGUCCUUAAGGCCCAAAGAGUUUCUAAUUUCUUUGGAACAGCAUAUACUUCUGUGUAAAAUCAAAUGGGUUAUCUAAUCUUCUCCUUGCCUUGUCUGAUCCAAGACAAAUUUUGCAUUGUAUCUAGAUAUUUUUGUGGAGUUCUCUGUGUGUUCAAAGAACCGAUCUGUGAUCUUUCUGUAAAAAUUACAACCUAUGAAAUCAAAUGUAUCUGGUAAAGAUUUUAAUCUUGUGCUCUGGGACAGAAGUAACAUCUGUCACUCUGUCAGAAUAAAUGCCUACAUCUUAAUGAUUGUGCUGACCCGUUACAUAGAUAUUUCUAUACCCUGAAUGGCAGGCAGCUGUGCUCUUUGAAUAUAGUGCCAGAAGCAGUAGGAAAGGGAAAGAUGGGGCAGAAGAUAUCCCUUCUAUCACACUGUGUACAGGAUCAGAAUAUUUAGUAUGUAAUGUUUUGCUAAGUGAGCUGUUCCACCCUCUUCUUCCCUUAGGAUCAAUUUAAGAUGAAUACUGUGUCUAGAAGGAAACACCUUUUAUUCCAGAGAAAAGAAAUGCGGCCUUACAGUAAUAUGUAUUUUUCAUUUUGCAAGUAAGUGCUAUUUUUCAAUAUUUGGGAUAUUAGCAGAGAGAAGUGCUGGGCAAAGAAAGCCAAUAUUCUUUAAAGUAUACAUUGCUGUGAUCCCAUUCUUUCAUGACUGCACAUUUUCCCUUUCUAGCCAAAUUAAUGUAUUUUAAUGUUUUGUGUAAUUCUAUGAUUCUACUGCUGUUUUAUCAAAGCAACAAUCACUUUCUGAGAGAUGAUACUUGCUCAGCUAAGAGGAGAGUCUGUGUGCAUGUCUGUAUGCCCUACCCAGCUGGGUGGCUAUGAGUUGCACUCUCAUGUGCAAAAGAAGAAGAAAGAAGACCUACUUUACAGAAACUGGAGUUAUCCAGAUACAUUGAAGACUUUAGUGCAGGAUGAAAUGACUGCUGCCUCUAAAUCUAGUCAUCUUGAAGUUCAUUGGAUCCUGCCACUUUACAGCUCUCAGUCCAGUAAUGGCACCUGGGUUUGUUUGUCUAGUCAUAAAGGAAGUCUACUCUGCUUUGUUGUUUUACCCUUGCUAGUUCCUACACACAUAAGUGUACAGAUGUUGAACCCAUUUCAGUGAAAAACAUACUGAGCUCAAACUACACACUUGUGACUAGUGUUUCAGUUGUAAUAUCUUACAUUUUAUAAAAAUUCUUUCAUCUGGGAGGCUUUGAAAGCUGCUUACAUCAUGAAGGCUGCAAAUUAUUUCUAAACAAGGUCUUACUACUUGCAAACUUAGAUGUUAUUUUGUAAAGUAAGAUAGAUUGAAUUAUUACAGUCAAAUCUUUAAUGUUACUCUUGUUUACAGCACACUUCCCUUAACAAUAAAUCUCCAAGCCCGUGGGCACUUUCAAUUACUGCAUCUUCCUUGCUUAGCAAAGGAACUCAUAAACUUCUCUUUCUGUCAGACCAUCUUGAAAGAUCUUUGUAUGUAAUGCAGACUGUGUUUCUGAUGAUGUUUAUAUAAAGAAAGACUUAUUAAAUGGAUAUCUUGUGGGGUUCACCCCUCCUUGUCUGUGACAACAGUAAAAAAGUGUUAGACAAGCUCUGGCGACAGUGCUGAGUUUUCUUUGGUAGUCUUAAUUAAUAGGUACUAAAAAAAAAAAAAGUGUAAAAAAUGUGUAAAAGGGGCAGGAAAUGCAAUGGAACUCUUUAAAAAUGGAUCCUUAAUGUUUAAGACUUUCAUGAUGUAUAAAAAUGGCAAUUAUCCCCAAUAUAAAGACUUUCAAAUGUACAGCAACAAACUUCUCAGUAUUUCAAGUUUUAUGAAUUUUAGAGAAACCCAAAGAUGCAGCUGUAAAGGCAUAGAUAUCUCUCCUGCAGCGGAACUUAUGACAUUAUUUGAAAAGGUGUCAUGUUUAUGUAAAUAGUUUCUUGACCUACACAGAUGGCAGAGAAAGAUUCAUGCUCAUUUAACAGAUGUAAAAACAAGGUAUGCACAGGAAAUGAAAUUCAAAUUUCACAAGUGUCUUUCUUUUCUAUAACAUUAAAAAAAAAAAAAAAAAGAAAAAAAAGAAAACAUGGAAGAG